rnacentral:rRNA from 1 species
UACGAACUGCGCGAACGUUAUUCGGAAUCACUGGGCUUACAGGGUGCGUAGGUGGCAUCGAAAGUAGGGUGUGAAAUGCCUUGGCUCAACCAAGGCACAGCGCUCUAAACUACUUUGCUUGAGUGGGUCAGGGGUGCACGGAACUUCCGGUGGAGCGGUGAAAUGUGUUGAUAUCGGAAGGAACACCGGCGGCGAAAGCGGUGCACUGGGGCUUAACUGACACUGAGGCACGAAAGCCAGGGGAGCGAACGGG